AGGCGCGGGAGCGACAGGGAGGGACCUCUCAUUGGGCCCACUGGGCUAGGCCACGCCCCCACCCGCCGCGGCCUUGAGGGGUGUGGUCUGCGCUCAGUUGGUCGAAUCUACAGAUGCACAACCCAUGGAUACAGAGAGCCAACUGUAAUGGAAUAAAUGACAAAAUACUAUUUAAGUUUGCUUUCACAGAGUUUUGAAGGUUUCCUGUUUCAACUCUGACAUGUAAAGAACUUGAAAGUCAUCAGUCAUAUUCUUCUAAGAAAAAAAGCCGAACAAGCUUAAAAUCAAUUAUUUUCUUGAACUCACCAGAGAAUUGAGAUUGCAGGGCAGACCACCCCCCAAAACAUGGAAAAUCACAGCCAAGAUGAUCUUACCUGAAACAGAAGGCCUUGGAGUCUUAAACUGGUAGGAAAAUUUAAACAGUAACUUUGACAAAUUGUUGGAGUUGGAGUUUGGACUAUGGUGAGCGUGAGAAACUUCUGGGAGCUACAGUCUUAGAGAGACUCUACACUUCCACAGAUUUUACCUCUAGGAACCAUACCAGAUUCUGAAGGCGAAGAGCCAAGGAAAAAAUCCUCCUGUUUCUGGCAGAGGACGGGGAAAUAAACCAUUUUGAAAUAUACCCAGAGUCUUCUCCAUACCAAAGGUCUACUCAGCAGGGGAAAAGACAGCCAGAGACUUAUGGGGGGAGGGGAAACAUUACCCAACUGCAGCCCCUCCUACUCUUCCUGUCUCUCCUAAGAGGGAAAGGUUGAGAAACUCUUGUGAAGAUCACAGCCCAAGGACACAGGCCCACUAAAGACUGAAACUUAAUCAUAGAAUUAUAUAGUGCUUCCCCUUCCCCUAUACCUUACCACCACAUACAUAGUGCUCUAGUAAAAUAACAGUGGAUUCCAGCCAAAAGAGCUGCAAAGUACAGUCUCUAUGUAAGAAGGAGUUUGGGGGAAAAUCCAAAGACAACAAGGAGGAAAUUGAAGGCUCUGAUACCUGCUGGUACUGCAAACAUUAAACACAGCCCAGUUCCUAAACAGAUUAAGGUAAAACCUCACCUUAAAAACCUAUUUGCCUCAGUUCUUGCUACCGGAUACAUUAUAUCUGGUUUUCAUCAAAAAAAAAAAAAAAAAAAAA